rnacentral:tRNA from 1 species
CGAUCCGCUGGCGAGCGACACCGCGGCGGCGCUGGCCCCGCCGAGCGCCGCCCACUGGUUCGGCACCGACCAGCUCGGCC